UUGUUUUGUUUUGUUUUUUCAGAUUUUCUUUCAGGGUUACGGAAGGCCAUUUCAGGUUAUGUCCCAGGGACCUAUCCAGUGCAUGGGAUGCGAAGGAGGGGAGGGGUCAAUGUCUGGUAUUUGCAGAUCAUACCGUGAUGCAGCGAUGGCGUCCUUAUGAGGAGAGAAACUUGGAAACUUACAGAGGGGAGAAAGUCACGUGAAGAUGGCAGUGGAGACCACAGUGACGUGUCUAAAGGUCAAAGGCUGCAGGGAUCGCUGGAUGAGAUGGAUCAGAAUUUUGCUGAUUGAAGGCAAGGGCUUCCUGACUGUAGUCAGAGAACCAGUGUCUCUGAAAGCCCAACAACUGACAGAACCUUUGGACCAUUCACUCGGAGAGUCUAAAGUGCCUGCGCAGUUCUGUGUGACCUGUUGCUGAGUUGUGAGAUGGGAAUUGCUGCCACACCCAGGAUGAAUGUGUUAAACUCUGCCACACCCAGGAUGAAUGUGUUAAACUCUGCCUCAUGCCCAGUUCAGCACUGGACUCAGGUUCUAGGUAAAGCCCUCUGCUCAUAAUCAUCCCAUCCCGGUUUUAUUCAGGUUAACUGUCAGGCAUCAUCCAUCUGCAAAGCUAAGGAAGAAGACAAAGAGGAGGAAUGCCAACUUCUUGGCCACAAGGUUCUUAGACAGUCUGCUGUGAUGAUUAAUCUUGCUUGUGAGUUUGGUUUGAUUGAAAGACAUCUAGGAGAUUAUUUGAUCAUACCUCUAGGUAUGUCUAUGAGAGCCAUUCCUGAGACAGUUAGAUUGCAGGGCUCUGACUAAUCCACUAUUGAAUUUCAAACCUAAAUGGAGAAAGGGAAGGCUAUAGAAAAGUGGAGGUGGGGCCGAGCUGGAGAAAGUGACAGGCAGGGCGAAUCUUCAAAGGCUGCAUCUUGGCUCUGUGCCCUUCCUGUUAUUCCUCUUUGCUUCCUGGCUCCCGUGAGGUGAUUCACCAUGUCCUUCUUCCACAAGGUAUUUCGUCAUUAAGGCUAGCCAGCAUGGACCAAACCCUCUGAAACCAUGGCAAAAGAAAGCCUUCAUCUAACUCGUUUGUCUUGGCCUUUGUUCCAAUGAUGGAAAUCUAACACAACGGAGAGGUGAAGCCCGCAUCUCAAUCACAGCAGUUAUUUCCUCCAUGGGAAAGACUUUGCAAGACUCCUGACGGAUGCUUGAAGUGACACAUAACUGCACCUUCUAUAGAAACUAUGAUCAAAUUUAACACAUAAAUUGGGCACAUUGAAGUUACUAGCUGUGACACUAAAAUUGGAAUUAUAACAAUACAAUAAAAUAAUUGUCAUGAAUGCAGUGUCUCUCACUCACACACAAUAUUUGCCUCACCUUUCUCCCAGGCUAAUGCGAGAUGAUACAGUGGCUCUGGGAUGAGUCAAGUGAGGCGAACCACAUUGCUACAUUGACACCGUAUGAGCCCACUGUUGAGUCUUCAGUGAGCUCCUGGGAGUGGUUGUGACCAGUCUGUUGAGUCUCAUGCCAUCCUGCGGAGGACAGUAAGUGGUCCUCUUCAUCAGGUGGAUCCAGGCCGUAUGCGAUGUCAGCUCAUCACUCACUCAGUAGUAUGGGGAGUAAGAAGCAUAAAUCUCUCCCUUGUUGGACUCGGGAGUCCCCCUCCCCCCCGUUUGGUAUCAGAUGUUGUUCAGCCCAUGGUGAUGAUCUCCAACCCCCAUGUUGUCAUCUGCACAGAGGAGCAGGAGAGCAACCCUAACUCAGCUGCAGCGGCUGUUACUCAUGGCCCGGGACAUGAAGGGCCCAAACUUCAGGUGGUCCAUAGGGAUGUUCCGGAGGAGAAAAGAAAGAGCUUAACAUGGUUCCAGUCUGUUCCGUGACAGUUGCCUCUCUGUGUGAACAAGAAGGGUAAUAGUAGAAAUGCAGACCCAGGAGAGGGAACACUGUUCACCAUGUGGUGAGGGGGGUCCCUUGGGCUGCAGGGCCAUCUGUGGCCUGUCCAACAAACAAACCACUUGGACUGCAGCAAUGGAGAAUUCUGAUGACCUGGUUUACAGGUGGUUCCAACAUCUGUCCUCACUGAUCUGCAUGACCACCAUUGUCCCUUCUGUGAAGAAGCUCUUGUGUAGAGAAUAUUUUGGGAAACCUAUUGAUGGCCUAUUUGGGACAUGUCAUAUCAGCUGGAGACUUCAUCUAAAUCUCGUGAAUCAAUAAAACAAACAUUA
rnacentral:sRNA from 1 species